rnacentral:rRNA from 1 species
GAUGAACGCUAGCGGCAGGCCUAAUACAUGCAAGUCGAACGGUGUCUUCGGACAUAGUGGCGCACGGGUGCGUAACACGUAUGCAACCUACCUUACAUUGGGGGAUAGCCUUUCGAAAGGGAGAUUAAUACCGCAUAAGACAGUAGCCGGGCAUCCAGCAGCUGUUAAAGAUUUAUCGAUGUAAGCUGGGCAUGCGUCCAAUUAGCUAGUUGGUGAGGUAACGGCUCACCAAGGCAAUGAUUGGUAGGGGAACUGAGAGGUCAAUCCCCCACACUGGCACUGAGAUACGGGCCAGACUCCUACGGGAGGCAGCAGUAGGGAAUAUUGGGCAAUGGACGCAAGUCUGACCCAGCCAUGCCGCGUGCAGGAUGAAGGCGUUAUGCGUCGUAAACUGCUUUUAUAUAGGAAGAAACGACCCUUGCGAGGGGCAUUGACGGUAUUAUAUGAAUAAGCACCGGCUAACUCCGUGCCAGCCGCCGCGGUAAGAC